GGAGAUGUGGCUGAGUGGUUGAAGGCACCUGAUUCGAAACCAGGCAAUGGGGUAACCCGUUCGAGAGUUCAAAUCUCUCCGUCUCCG
rnacentral:tRNA from 1 species